rnacentral:rRNA from 1 species
CCUACGGGUGGCUGCAGUGAGGAAUAUUGGUCAAUGGACGCAAGUCUGAACCAGCCAUGCCGCGUGCAGGAAGACGGCUCUAUGAGUUGUAAACUGCUUUUGUACGAGGGUAAACGCAGAUGCGUGUAUCUGUCUGAAAGUAUCGUACGUAUAAGGAUCGGCUAACGUCGUGACAGCCGCCGCGGUAAUACGGAGGAUUCAAGCGUUAUCCGGAUUGAUUGGGUUUAAAGGGAGCGUAGGCGGUCGGAUAAGUUAGAUGUGAAAGCCCGAGGCUCAACUUCGGAAUUGCCUGUGAUACUGUUCGACUAGAGAGUAGAUGCGGUGGGCGGAAUGUAUGGUGUAGCGGUGAAAUGCUUAGAGAU